rnacentral:piRNA from 1 species
UUUUAUGAUUUCUGUUGUCGA